UUUUUUUUUUUUUUUUUUUUUUGUUACGCUUUUUUAGGGCCACACCCACGUGGCAUAUGGAGGGUCCCAGGUUAGGGGUUGAAUCAGAGCUGUAGCCACUGGCCUACCCCACAGCAACGCCAGCUCCUUAACCCACUGAGCGAGGCCAGGGAUCAAACCUGCCACCGCAUAGUUCCUAGUCAGAUUCGUUUCCACCGCACCAUGAAGGGAACUCCUAUAUGAGUUUUUUAUGGAUGGAUGGAUGUAUUACAUACGUAUUAUGAUGUGGCACAGCGGGUUAAGGAUCCGGCACUGCUCUGCAGCUGUGGCAUAGGUCGCAUCUGUGGCUCAGAUUCAAUCCCUAGCCUGGGAACUUCCAGAAAGAAAGCAAGAAAGAAAGGGGGGGGUGGGGGGGAGAGGAAGGAAGGAAGUUAACACUUAACCCACCGUAUUUGUGGUAAAUAUUUUCAUGUGGUAUUUUCCCUUUAAGUUUGUUUUUUGAUGGUUUUAUUUUUGUGAGCCAGUCCUAUUAGUGCAGUUGGAUAAUUAGAUUUUUAAUAUUUAUCUCUUUAGUUAAUCUAGAAUUGAUUUAGAUGUAUAGCCUGAGAUUAUAUAACUUACUGUUUUUUCCAGAUACUAAAUGGACGGUCCCAGCACCAUUUUAUUGACUAAUCUAUUUUUUCCCCAAGAUUUGAAGUGCUGAUUUAAAUCAAAUGCUAAAAUGUCAUACAUACUAAGGUUAAUUUUAGGCUAUCCAUUCCUUUUCACUAAUUUCUGCCCAGCUGCACACUAUUUUGGCUACUGUAAGUAGAUAGUAUAUUGCAAUACCUGGUACAUCAAAUUUUCCUAUUUGCCUUUUCAAAACUUCCUUGGCAAUUCUUACCUCUUUAUUCUUCUAAAUGAACAUUAGAAUCAUUCUGUCAGUUUCCAAAAGCAUACUGUUGGGGUUUUGACUGGAAUUUCAUUAAGCUAGUUUGGAAAGAAAUGACAACAUCAAAACAUUCAAUCUUCCUUCCCAGAAGCAUGGAAGCUCUUCCUUUAUUCAAGUUUUUGCUUAUAUUCUAAUGAAAAAUGUUAUGAUUCUUUGUAUGGGUCCUAUACACCUCUUGUUAGGAUCUCCUCCUGGGUAUUUCAUUUGGGGGAUUAUUUUUAAUGGAAAUUUUUCAUUAUUGCAUAUGGCUGAUCAUUGCUGGUAUGAAAGAAAGCUAUGGAUUUGUGUAUUUUAAAAUUAAUUUAAAAUUAAAAAUUUUUAUAUUAGCUUUUCAAAUAAAUCACAAUUAUGCAAUGUAUAAUUUUAAUAGAUCUACAACCAGUUCUGUGUGCUGAUUGAUUCUGUUAAAAACAUAAACAUCCAGGAGUUCCCUUUGUGCCUCAGCAGUAAUGAACCUGACUAUUGUCCUUGAAGACAUGGGUUCAAUCCCUGGCCCCCCUCAGUGAGUUAAGGAUCUGAGGUUGCUGUGGGCUUUGGUGUAGGUUGCAGACGUGGCUCAAAUCUGGCAUUGCUGUGGCUCUGGUGUGAGCCAGCAGCUAUAGCUCCCAUUCAGCCCUAGUCUGGGAACUUCCACAUGUCACAGAUACAGCCCUAAAAUAAAUAAAUAAAUAAAUAUCCAGAGUUCCCUGGUGGCCCAGCAGGCUGGGGAUCUGGCAUUGUCGCUGCUGUGGCACAGGUUCCAUCCCUAGCCUGGGAACUUCCACAUGCCAUGGGCAUGGCCGGGGGGGGCGCGGGGGGGGGGAACAUGUCAAUAUCUGACGUGUGCGUGCUGAGCACCAGUUGGCUGAUGGAAAUAACUAAAGCUAUGUGAGGCUUUCGUCUUAUUCAGUCGAUGCCAUUUGAAGACCUGAGAAACCACUGAAAUUCCUUCUUACGGCAGGCUUGUUACAUGAUUUAGUGAACAGACAAGGCAGAAGAGGACAAGGCGUGGGCGUGCCAGCACGGUCUUACUCCACUGCCUUCCAGGAGUCUCUGCCCAGGGUUCCGGUGCUCCUGUUUCCCCAUCUGCCAGGUGUCUGAGGUUUUUGGAAGGAAGGUCUAUGUGAAUUUUAACUUCCAUCACGACAUAACAGCCUGCAAGAAUUCAUAAACAUUUUCAUCUUGUUUAAUGUAACACAAUCCAUAAAAGGGCAUGUUUCCUGUUAGAGCUGAUGCUUUGCUUUGCCAUCCUAACCCUUAAGAAAGUGCCUUACUCUCCUCUCUCCUCCAGUGGUUAUAGUACAUGCAUUUGUCCAGUGUUUCUUUGUUGAAAAAUGGAAGUGCACAGGGCCGGAGAUUUUGAUACAUUUUGACGCUAAGCAAACUUGCAGCACAAAAGUAAAGCAAUAUGCAGGGCUGGCUGAUUAUUUUCUAAUCAAUCAUUCAGGCACUUUUUCUAAUAGGGCUUCGCACUAAUUUCCUCAGGCCAUCUGGCUCAGCAUUUUUUUUAACCAACCUUAAGGCCCAAGCAAACAGCUGUUGUCUUCAGCGAAGGCAAUUUGGGCUAUGGGCACUUUCUUUGCUCCAGGCCUGCCCUGAGCCACCAGCCAGAGUCCUGGCCCCAUCCCUGCUUCUCUCUGCCCUGGCCUCCAAGAUCAGUCUCCCUAGGCUGACCCGUAGAGCUGUUGGGGGCACCACUCAGACUCAGGCACCUGCCAGUUCUCUCCCAGUUUCCUUGGGUUCUUUCUGGCUUCGAGACCUUCAUGUUGUGCCUUGCAAGUUCCCAAUUCUGGUAAUUAUCCAGCUUCAUAAAUCUGUCCACACCGUUACUGACCCCCAUCGACACCUGAAGCACAGUGUGGUCUAAGGCUCGCUUGGCCUGCUUUCCAUUCGUUCUUGUAUGCACUCAACAAACGCUCAUUGGGCAGCUCCUAUGUGCCUGGCACUGUGCUAGGUCACGGGUAGGCACUUGGGGCACAGCUGUGACCGAGACAGACCACCUCUCUGGACCGUUCCCUCUGUCCAGGUGGGGCACUCAGAACAGAAGAUGAAAAGCCUGGUUUCUCACAGGCCUCCCCACUCCUCCAGCCUAAGUGCCGGGGUUUAGGUCUGCUUCGUGGUCUAGAGUGGUCUGAGUUUAUACUUCAUGGAAAAAUCUCUUGGCAAGUCCCCCGCAUUGCGUCGGAGCACUCAGAGGUGAAUGGAGCUGUUUUCUCAGCCAAGAAGCUCGCACGAAGAUAGAAAGGACGGGAGCUCCCGUCGUGGCUCAGCGGUAACGAACCCAACUGGUACCCGUGAGGACACGGUUUUGAUCCCUGGCCUCGUCCAGUGGGUUAAGGAUCCAGCGUUGCCAUGAGCUAUAGGGUAGGUCGCAGAUGCAGCUCGGAUCCCCCGUGGCUGUGGCAGUGGUGUAGCUGGCAGCUGCAGCUCUGAUUCGACCCCUAGCCUGGGAACUUCCUACGCCAUGGGUGCAGGCCUAAAACGCAAAAAAACAUAAAAAAAUAAGGACACGGUUACGUCUUGUUUUGUCUUGUUUGGGAAAGGGCCCAAGACCACACACUGGGAAUGGAAGCUGACGUCUCUGUGUCACCUUUUGGCACAUGUUUUCCAGCCUGACGGUCAAGUCAUCAGGCUGAGCCCACACAUUACCAACGAGGCUGGCCACCCAGUGUUCUGGUUUCCGUCUUGGAUGCCAGUAAUCCAGUGGAGUUUUUCUUUCAUGAACUGAUUGAAUCACCUAGUUUAGGCAUCAUGGCCACAUGAAAAGCAGCAGACUCCCAGGGAAGGGCUACCUGCCAGAGCCGCAGUCACCUGUUGUCAGUGUUCUUGAGUCCCUGGGCUUUGGAAACGAACCCGCAAAUACUUCUCGUGGAUCCACACUCAAGAACCUUCUACCCACAGCCUGUGAAGCUCCCCUGUGUGCUCCCCAGGAUCAAGCCAUCCUUCUGUGCUGUGGACAGAGACGAUGAAAUCACGCAUCUUUUUAAAAAUGAUCCAGGUCUGUCACUACAAGACGUUUAUGGCAAAACACUGACUUUCCUUCCACUCUUCCAACCUUUUGUGCUCGUUUUUAAGGCAAUCUCUCGACUGUACAUACAGUGUCCCCCUUCUGCAGAAGGGACCUCUUAAGAAGACAUAAUAAAGCAAACAGCUGACUCUACCCCAAAUUCUGUGCAGAGAAUGCAGCAAGUAUUUCCUGGACUUUCACUCACGUUCAGAACAUUGUAACAUGCCCCCUUCUUGCGGAAUGAGUGAGGGUAACCGGGCACAUCAGACUCUGACUUCAAACAUCCUAGCUCUGCUGUGGCCUGGCCACCUACAACCUGCCAGACGAGGCAAGUACACGAUACAAGUUUUGCGUGGCUGUGUCGCGCCCCCUGCCCUGCUCUGGUACCCACACCAUCUAGUGACGACAGAAUAAGGCUGGGAAGUGAAGGCACCUGUGACAGCAGAGGCACAGCCACGUCUUUGCCUGCAUUUUUUGGCUGUAAAGUAGGAAUAACAGUCCCUUCCUCCUUUGUUUACAAAUGUCACUCUGGACAAUGAGAGGACGGUCUGAUGUGCUCUGAGGGGGGCCGUGGAGAAGACAAGACAUUGCUUAACCCCAGAAUACCACCCGGGCAUUAUUUAUUAUUGAAUUAUUUGUUAUUGAAUGGGUUGGACCGCAGGAGGUUGAAAGAGGUGUGGGUUUGAUCCUUUGAAGCCACAGUCAGCAGAAGUGCUUUCAGAAAGUGGAUGGAGGCUGUAAUUGUUCCCUCCCUCUGCAUUCCCGCGGUCGGCCCCUGAGAUGUUAUAUCCGAAAGGUCAUCUAGACAAAGGCUGCGCACAAAGGACUGUCUGACUCCGUCUGAGGCCAGUGUGCGGCUGCAUUUGUAAUUCCCUCCUUCCAAGGUGCCCUGUGGGUCAGGCCCUUGGGAGGGGGCCCCAUGCAGGGCCUGGCCUGCUGCUGGAUCGGCCCAUCCGCCUCCAGCGAAUUGGAGAAGAUGGCCAACCUCCACAGACAGCGAAGAGCCAGGCUCCGUGGGUCCUCUGUGUAAACCGAGUUCCACCUCUCACGAAGAGGGUGGGUCUCAGCCCCUCCGUCCACGGCACAGACCCCAGCCAUGCUGGCCUUGGUCUUCCCGUGGAGGCCGGGCCUAGGCUGGAUGACUUCGAAUGAGAAAUGUCCAUGGAGGGCGUUCCCAUCGUGGCUCAGCAGAAACGAACUUGGCUAGCAUCCAUGAGGACACAGGUUCGACCCCUGGCCUCCCUCACUGGGCUAAGGGUCUGGCAUUGCCGUGAGCUCUGGUAUAGGUCACAGACACGGCUCCAAUCCAGCAUUGCUGUGGCUGUGGGGUGUUGGUCAGCAGCUACAGGUCUGAUUCGCCCCCUAGCCUGGGAACCUCCAUAUGCCACAGGUAUGGCCCUAAAAAAAAAGCAAAAAAAAACAAAAAACAAACCAAAAAAAAUGUCCUUUACAAGACAAAAGAAAAAAGGACAAUGCCGGUGAAGGCUGCCCUGAGCUUUCUCUGGUCUUCAGAUGCUUGGUGGUUGGCCAGGUGCCUCCCUCCACCUUUUCACCUCCUAACAGGGUUGCAGGGGCCAAACAAAGUGCUCUAAAUGGCACGGAGGAAAGGACUGCUGCAACGGUUCAUCUCAGUGACGCAGGCAGCGAUGACCUCAGCAUCCCGGGCAGGAGCCCCGGCCAGGUCUGAGCCCCUCGUGUGAGGGAGGGUCCCCACGGUAGACACUCAGCCAGGAUGGCAGUGACGCUCCCUUCAACGUGGACCGGUUAUGGGAGGACGGCGCGUAAGACAAACGGAUCUGGCCUUAAGAAAUUAUCCUUGAUUUCUCAGGAUGCGGAACGACUGGAAAAGUCAGAGUCCUCCCCGGGGAAGGGAUUCAUGUCUCAGGAUGGGAACUGACGGGUGACUUGGUUAGAUGCUUUGGCGAACAGCGAGCAGGGCGGGGAAUCAUGUAGAUAGGAAGCUCUGGGCCAUUACCCCAAGCCUUCCAUCCCUAAUGGGAACAAAUUGAAUCUGACUCAAGAUACUUGUUGAAUCAGAAGUAAUGUGAGACUCCUGAGAUGGGGACGCCCCCCUUUGUAGAGACAAGAGAGUGGGCCCAGGCAGGGCCCUGCAGGGCUCUGAGCCCCUCCUGCUUUCUGGUCUCCUUGCAGGCCACAGAAAUUCCUUGGGGAGGCCAGGCCACAGGAGGCUGCAGUCUGGAGCUUGGCAUGCAGGUCACUUCUCUCUGGCUCAUCCCAUGGCCACACAGAUCCUGGCCCUCCAUUUACAAAAGGGCCUUUACAAAGGCGAGUGGUAAAAAUGCCCCCAGCACGCCCUCCCCUCCUUCCACCUCUGUCCUUGCCGUUUCUCACCCUAAGCUGUACUUAUUUGUGCAUCUUCCUCCCAGGUGGUCUCCC
rnacentral:lncRNA from 1 species